GGGGGGGGGGGGGGGGGGGCGGGAGGCGGGGGGGGCGGGCGGAGGGACGGGGGGGUGGCUCCUCUGGCGGUGGCGGCGGGCGGGGGCGGAACACGUGGAUACCCUACCUAUCGGGCUGGGAUCACUUCGGGAAGCCGGAGCUACUACCGGAUGCUCUAUUGACCCGCCUGGUUCCAGAGUGAAAGACGGUUUUGCUGUCCCUUAUAGCUGUGUCCGCGCCGCAUUAGCUAGUUGGUAAGGUAACGGCUUACCAAGGCAACGAUGCGUAGCCGACCUGAGAGGGUGAUCGGCCACACUGGAACUGAGACACGGUCCAGAAUCCUACGGGAGGCAGCAGUAGGGAAUCUUCCGCAAUGGGCGAAAGCCUGACGGAGCAACGCCGCGUGAGUGAUGAAGGUCUUCGGAUCGUAAAACUCUGUUAUUAGGGAAGAACAAAUGUGUAAGUAACUAUGCACGUCUUGACGGUACCUAAUCAGAAAGCCACGGCUAACUACGUG
rnacentral:rRNA from 1 species